ACAGAGUGCUCAUUUUGGCAGUACUAAAAUUUGGAUGAUACAGACAAGAGUACCCCUGAGCAAGGAUGACAUGCAAAUUGUGAAGUGUUCCAUUUUUUA
rnacentral:snRNA from 1 species